rnacentral:lncRNA from 1 species
AUCAAAUAAGGCUACAUGCUAGGUCAGCACUCUAUCUACAUAUUCAGCCCCUAACACUUCUAUUUUCUGCAAUACUAUUCUUUCCUUCUGUAUUUUCUCCAGUUUACAAAUCCCUACAUUAUAAAACAUGCCAGGACUGUGGGUGGAGCUCAGCGGGGAGUGUCUGCUUAGAAUGCCUAGGCUCUGGGCUUAAUCUUUCCCCUUCUUUCCUUCCUUCCUUCCUUCCUUCUUUCUUUCUUUCUCUUCUUUUUUUUUUUUAAGAUUUAUAUAUUUACUUUAUGUAUAUGAGUACACCAUUGCUCUCUUCAGAGACACCAGAAGAGGGCAUCAGAUACCAUUACAGAUGGUUGUGAGCCACCAUGUGGUUGCUGGGAUUUGAACUCAGGACCUCUGGAAGAGCAGUCAGUGUUCUUAAACUGCUGAACCAUCUCUCCAGCCCUCUCUUUUCUUUAUUAAUGUCUUAAUUUUUUUAAAGCUUUGUUAGUAAGAUGAAAUUAACUGCCCACCCAAUUUUUGCAGAAUAAGUUGUUAACAUCAUCUUGUCCCCUGAAUACAGUUUGCUGGCAAGCUUUUAGUUGAGGUGUGUGUGUGUGUCCAGAUAGUUUUCUUUUGUGAAGUUCCACCAAUGUUUUCAUGCCGUAAUUCUAACUUACUUUGUUAGUAUGGAACUAAAAUAGCUAUUAGCAAUGCAUAUAGAGAGCACAUGGAAUUUUAGGGCCUCUUUCAUUGUGAGUCUUGGAGCCCAAUGCAAGUGCCCCACUUUAGGGAUGUAUCUGCUAAUGUAUUUGUAAAGUAGGGGAAAUUUGGGUCACCAUUAAAAGGACUAGCCAUUAUUGCUAAGUCUUACUAAGUUCCCAAUAGUUGUUUUUAAUGCAGGAAGUCAUAGUCAUGUUUUUUAGGAUGGCCUGGUUAGUGACUCAAAGUUUAUUUAUUUAUUUAUUUAUUCAUUUAUUUAUUUAUUUAUUAUAUGUAAGUACACUGUAGCUGUCUUCAGACACUCCAGAAGAAGGAGUCAGAUCUCGUUACGGACGGUUGUGAGCCACCAUGUGGUUGCUGGGAUUUGAACUCCGGACCUUCAGAAGAGCAGUCGGGUGCUCUUACCCACUGAGCCUUCUCACCAGCCCCUAUUUUUUUUAUUUUUAACACACUGAUUAAAGCAGUAUGGAUUCACAAGGGGAAAAGCCAUUAACUACACAGUAUGUCCUACAUCUUAACUACACAGAAUGUCCUAUAUCUUUAUGAGGGUUUCAGACUCUCUUAUGCUUUGAGCUUUUUGCCAACAGCAAAAGCUACAGAGAUUUUUCUUAAAUGAAAAUAGGUAACAAGCAAAACCAAACAUAAGUAAUUUCACUAUCUAUUCAAUACUAAAGACAUUUAAACUUAUUAGAAGUCUAAAAUUAGCAUCAGAUUAAAUCUAUAUAUUUCAUAUUAGAUGCAGAAAUAAUAUUGAACAUGAUUUUUAAUUUAGAGGCUCCUGCCAGGUGUGAUGGCAUGCACCUUUAAUGCCAACACUGAGGGUACAGAGGCAGGUGAUCUGUAUGAGUUCAGGCCCAGCCUGGUACAUAGCAAGUGAGUUCUAGGUCAGACAAGACUGCAUAGUGAGACAGUAUAUAAACAAACAAUCAAUCAAUCAAUCAAUCAAUCUAGAAUCUCCUAAUUGUCUUGCUUAUAUCACGUCCGCUGUGGUAAAUGCAAAGCCAUUUCUAACUGGUUUCCCAAGAGGAAAUGAGUUUUCUCUGUACUUGUGAGUCAGGUUUUAAAUCCUAAGAAAUGUUGGUAAUUUAGGGUAAAUGGUAUAUUCUUCUCUUUUUUUUUUUUUUUCAGCUCUUGAAUUACUUUCAUUAAAAAGUUAAGAGGCAGGGCAUGCCUGUAAUUUCUGCAGUAUUGUGGCUAAGGCAGAAGGACCACAAGCUGGAAGCCAACCAAAGCUGUACAGUUAAACCCUGUCUCAGAAAAACAAAACAGUGUAGCACAUAGAGCCUUGGAUGCACUCUGAAAGUGGACAUUAAUAGGAUGAUUGGAAAUGCAAACAAUCUGGAUAGCUAAUUAAAUUAAAGCAUUAUUACCUACUAACUGAUAACUUUCUGAUUUUGACAAUUGUAUGGCUAUAUGGUUAUAAGACAAAUAGGAAAUUUUGGGGUGAUGAGUAUGUAAAAAAUCCUUUAUCUUGUUUCUGCUAUUUUUUUUAUUUUAUUACAUUUUAAUUUAUUACACGUGUACAGGUCAGAGGACAGCUAAAGGGUGUCAGUUGUGUCUUUCUGACACGCAGGUCCUAAGGCUGAAACUGAGGUCAUCUGGCUUAGCAGCAGAUGUUUUUCCCCACUGAGCCCUCUCAGCAUUACAAGAAAGUAAUUCAGCCAGGUGUGGUGGCACACACUUUGAAUCCCACACUCAGGAGGCAGAGGCAAGCUUAUUUCUGUGUUCAAGGUUAGCAUGGUCCACACAGGGAAUUCCAGGGAAGCUAAGGCAACACAGUGAAACCCUGUCUCAAACAAACAAACAAACAAAAUUAUUUAACAAUGAAAAGCUAGAAGCCAUUCCUCAUGGUGUAGGCCUGUAAUCCCAACUACUGGGGAAGUUAAAGCAAGAAGGAGUUCAGUGCCUGCACUCAGUGACUUUGAACCUAGCCUAGACAACUUAGUGAGACCCUAUCUCAAAAUAAAAAAGUUGAGAGCUUGCCCAGUGUGUGAAAAGUCCCAAUAUCAAGAGCAAG